rnacentral:misc_RNA from 1 species
GGAAGGAUCAUUAAUGAAUUCUGAGUAGGCUCUGCCUCUCACCCUUCAUAUCCAUAAACACCUGUGCACAGUCGGACCCUUGAGUCUUUCGGGACUCCCGGUGUCUUGACGAUCUUAUCAAACAACAAUGUAACCAAUGUAAUCAUUAUUAUAACAUAAUAAAACUUUUAACAACGGAUCUCUUGGCUCUCGCAUCGAUGAAGAACGCAGCGAAAUGCGAUAAGUAAUGUGAAUUGCAGAAUUCAGUGAAUCAUCGAAUCUUUGAACGCACCUUGCACUCUUUGGUAUUCCGAAGAGUAUGCCUGUUUGAGUGUCAUGAAAUCUUCAACCAUUCUGUUGGGUGUUUACGCCUGGCGGUUUGGAUUGGACUUGGGUGUUUGUCGGACAAGCAAUUGUCUGACUCACCUUAAAAGGAUCAGUGGAUCUAUUGUCUUGGACUUUUGCAUUGCAAUUGGUUUGACUUGGCGUAAUAAGUAUUUCGCUAAGGACAGUGCUUCGGUGCUGGCCAUUGCUUUUCAACCGGACUUUGGAAAUCGCUUUCUAACCCUAAUUUUAUUUGACAUCUGGCCUCAAAUCAGGUAGGACUACCCGCUGAACUUAAGCAUAUCAAUAAGCGGAGGAAAAGAAACUAACAAGGAUUCCCCUAGUAACGGCGAGUGAAGCGGGAAGAGCUCAAAUUUGAAAUCUAGUAGCCUUCGGCUGCUCGAGUUGUAAUCUAUAGAAAUGUUUUCCGUGCUGGCUCAUGUACAAGUCCCUUGGAACAGGGCGUCAUAGAGGGUGAGAAUCCCGUACUUGACAUGAAUUACCAGUGCUCUGUGAUACAUUUUCAAAGAGUCGAGUUGUUUGGGAAUGCAGCUCAAAAUGGGUGGUAAAUUCCAUCUAAAGCUAAAUAUUGGCGAGAGACCGAUAGCGAACAAGUACCGUGAGGGAAAGAUGAAAAGCACUUUGGAAAGAGAGUUAAACAGUAUGUGAAAUUGUUAAAAGGGAAACGAUUGAAGUCAAUCAUGUCCUUGGGUCUUACCACCCUUGGAUGGGGUCAACAUCAGUUUUGAUCGGUGGAUAAGGAUAGGAGGAAGGUAGCACUCUCGGGUGAACUUAUAGCCUCCUGUCGCAUACACUGGUUGAGACUGAGGUCUGCUAUUACAGGAUGUUGACAUAAUGGCUUUAAACGACCCGUCUUGAAACACGGACCAAGGAGUCUAACAUAUCUGCGAGUAUUUGGGUGUCAAACCCGAGUGCGCAAUGAAAGUGAAUGUAGGAGUGAUCCGCAAGGAGCAACUUCGACCGAUCUGGAUCUUUAGUGAUGGAUUUGAGUAAGAGCAUAUAUGUUGGGACCCGAAAGAUGGUGAACUAUGCCUGAAUAGGGCGAAGCCAGAGGAAACUCUGGUGGAGGCUCGUAGCGAUUCUGACGUGCAAAUCGAUCGUCAAAUUUGGGUAUAGGGGCGAAAGACUAAUCGAACCAUCUAGUAGCUGGUUCCUGC